UCAGGUGCAUGCAAUGUACCUGAGUGACAGAAAGGGCUGGAGCCAGGAUCCACCCCUUCCCAGUACUCAUGGAAGGGUUGGUGAUGGAGGUGAAGGGAUCUUGCUAGAGAUGUCUGCCUACCUGAGGCCUUCCAAAGAGGUUAUCUCUAGAAUGGAACAAAGUAUUUUGGAAAAUAAGGUCCUUGAACGAGGAAUUCAGAUAUCAUGAAAAUCUCCUGAUGUGUUAGGGAUGGUUUCUGCUAUCACUGCUGCAACAUGUGCAGCUACUGCCUGCAAACUGAAAAGGAAAUGUGAAGUUGAAUGUGAUUCUCAGGGAUGAGAAUGGAAACGUCUCCGCUUGGCUUGUUGGCGAUUUUCUUUUCUGGACGGCACUUAAUUUAUUACUCCUUAUUCCCUGAACUCCUAUCAGUGAGCAGACCCAUCCAGUACAGCAGUGCAGGUAAUCAAUACAGGGCUGACUUCCCUGAAGUGAAUUUCUUUGAGCCUUAGGGGUUAGCCUGGCCUAAUUCUUCUGAUGAAAUGCUGCCAGACUUCUUCCUGGCCUCGUGCAUUUUCUCUUAAGGCAAUGAACUUGUUCGUCUCUGACAGAGCUGGACUCGUUACUAAAACCAUGGAAUGUUGUUAUGUUGUUUUGCAGACUCAUCACCCUCCCAUGAUAAUAGGGGGUGGCUGAAUUGCUGUUGUUUCCUCUGACCACAGGGAUCAAAUGGAAGUGGCUCUUACUGAGGGAGAUGCUGGGACAACAUUCAUUCAGAGGUGAAUUUCAGCAGCUGGAAAUUCACUGCUGCUUUAUUUCAUGAGUUAAAGUAGAAUAUGAUUGUCCUUAUGGCUAGAAGUUGGUGCUUUGGCAGUGAACAUGUGCUGUCUUCUCUGGAUGCCAUGAAAUAUUUAAGCCAAUCCUUACAUUUGCAUAUAAAUCUGUUAUGUACAAGCGGUGACCAAAUUUGCCUGCUGCAAAUAUCUGAUCUAGCUGGAAAAAAUGAGGGCACAGAAGUACAGUUUGUGAUCUCAGCUUAAAAAAUCCUGCAUCACAUCCAUGUUCCUGUGCAUGGCUUUCCAGCCACAGGCACACAGCGUAUGAAGUGUAGGAACUCUCUCUCCCCCAUCCCAAAUUAGCCAUGGUCAGAGCACAAAAUGGGUGUGUGCAGGACAGAUGGGCAACCCGUGGUGCCACUGGGCCUGGGAUCAUUCCUCAGCCACUGAACUUCCAACUCCAUAUCAGCAACUGGCAAAGAUGAACACGUCCUCUGGCCCCUGCCCAUGAAAUUGUUGUCCAGUGUUUCAGCAACUUCAUAUUCCAUCGGAUUCAGCAAAAGGCACGCGCUGCUCACAGGACAGCCCACCUCCCAGUGGCCCUAUUACUUGGGUCUGACCUUUCUUUGCUGUAUGCUCUGUGGGCUAUUAGUUCCACUUAACAGAGCUGUGGUGCUUCUAGGCUCCAUUCUGAAGGAAGGAAGGAAUCCAGAGUUCCUCCUGUGAGCCAUGUGAACUGCUGGAAGACCACAGGUGAGAUGGCAGAGCACGUCUCUUGCAUGCUGCGAGUUUGGAGCACGUCCCUCCUUGCACAGCACUGGCAGCAACAACAUCAGUCAGGUCCCUGCUUCUCCCCUUCCUACAAACGAACUGCAAUCAGAUCGCUGGGGAGUGCUUAAAAGGAUGAUAUAGGACUUUCUUGUCUUGAGAUGUCCUCUAUGUCCUUGUAUUCUGUUUUCUUUCAUCUCUCUCAUUCCACUUUGUGGGGAGCUGUUUUGAUAAAUGUGAAUCAGAUUUAUUAAGAAUUUGAUAUUCCAAGCAUAAACGUGCCCUUCUCUGGAUGCAUCCUUUCAGUGAUUCACUUCAAACAAAUCACAAGUUUUUAAAUGAGCCCGCUUGGGAACAUAUCAAACGAUGGCACGGACAGCAGGAGGGAGGCUCUGCGUGGUGGGACGUGGCAGGAUGUCGUGUGGUUGAACUGCAGCUUUACAGGGCGGAGUGGACAGGUUGAGCAGACAUAGCUGCUGGUGGACAGGAGGAGAGCACUGUGUGCCUCUGUGGAAAUUUCAGGUCAAACUUGGAGUGGCUUGUGCUCUCCUAAUUGCUCAGCAUCUCCAAUUGCAGCUGGUUUCUGAGCAGCACAGCCAGAGCGUGCGCUCUGAGUGUGUGUCAUUCCCCAAAUCUCGUCUGCUGGAAAGUGGCACUUCCAAAUCAAAUUUUGGGUUCUCCUGAGAGUGCAGCUCUUCCCUAUGAGUACUGCAGGCAGAGGAGAACUUUGUGCUCUGUGUUAGGCAGAGAAGUUUGCUAUUAAAUCCAGCACUUAGGUUACUACAUAAUGCCUUUACCUUUACCUUCGUAGAGCACCUCUGGAGGAGGAAGGGGAAGAAAAACUAAGGCUUCUGUGAAUUCAGAUAAAAUUACAUUUGAAAGAAUAUUAAGCUCAUCAGAUAUGUUGGUGACAAUUUGCAGCAGGUGAUGCACGGCAUUGCUCCAUCAGCAAUCUGAACCAGGCUUUUACACAUAGCCAGAGAUGUGCCAGGGGCUCCUCCGUCCCACCAGGCAUCAGCACCGAAGAGGCACUGAGCUUUGUAACAGGCAAAACUGCCUUUCUGCACCUAACUACAGGAGGGUGAGAGGUGACAACAGAAGGUGGCACAUUACUGCUGGAAGAGGAUUGAAGGGCUGAGCUGGGAACAUGGGGAGAAUUGGGGCAAAAGGCUGCAGUCACACUGCUGAAGGCUUCCAGGUGCCUCAGGUUUGGAGGGGACUGUUCUCAGUGAAGAGUAUGAUGAGAACCGUGGUUAGUAAACAGCAUGCAUUUCCUGAUAACAGUCCUGAAUGCCUGGUGAAGGAACAGGAGAGGGAAUUAGGUUCUUCAGCUUUGUUCCAUAAGGAAAGUGAACAAGCAGAAUCUGUGAGGCUAAAUGGAGAUAAACGUGCCCGAAUAACAUGUGCACAAGGGACAGAAAAAUCUGUUCCCCCAUACAGCUUUCUAUGCGCACAAGAGGAUGCAACUUUGGAUGAAGAUCCAGGAAGAAAACAAAUAGAAGUCAGUUAUAAGGACACUGAAUCCAAGGGCACAUUCACAGGAAAUAACUCUGCAACCUCUGCAACAGACACUUAAAACACCACAGUGGUAGAAAACAGGCUCAAAAAUCGUCCUAAAUUGCAGUCAUAAUGGAGGUCUGCAGGUGACAUGUAAUGGGAGCCUGUAGGUGACGUGCUGUGGGGCAGAUGAAGCAGCGGAGUUGCACAGUGCCUUCCUCCCAUGCCUUCCCUCUCUGGCAGGAUGCUGACCUACAUUCCUGUGGUCCCACAGUGCCUGGAGUCACAACAGUGCUUGGGGAGUGGCCCUGGGCAUCUGCCCCUGUGUGGGCACUGCAUGGCUGGGCUGGGCAGUGCUGACCCAGUGCUUGCCGUGCUGCAGCUCCUCCAUAAACAACAAGCUGGUGCUCUGAAAGCAGAGGUCGUGGGCAAACUGGGAGCCUGGGCUCGGAUGCAGGGGAGCCUGGUUGUGCAUGAGAACCACGGCGAUUCUUCAGGAGUGUCAGCAUCAGUGCUAAAACCAUUGUGAUGAUAAUGCACUCGGAUAUGCCUUGCUCUGCUGGCACUUUCUCUGGAAAUGGCUUUAUUGGAGCUGCUAAUGGAGAUUUCUCACAACAAGACAGCUGUACGGAUUUUCAGAAAAUAUUAAAAUACUAAUAUUGUUUUUAAUGACUUAAAA